rnacentral:rRNA from 1 species
GAUGAACGCUGGCGGCGUGCCUAAUACAUGCAAGUCGAGCGAACAGAUGAGGAUCUUGCUCCUCUGACGUUAGCGGCGGACGGGUGAGUAACACGUGUAUAACCUACCUAUAAUACUGGGAUAACUUCGGGAAACCGGAUCUAAUACCGUAUAAUAUAUUGAACCACAUGGUUCAAUAGUUAAAUACGGUGUUUUUGGCGGUUGUGGAUGGAUCCGCGCCUCAUUAUCUAGUUGGUAAGGUAACGGCUUACCAAGGCAACGAUGCGUAGCCGACCUGAGAGGGGGACCAGCCACAUGGGGACUGAGGUACGGCCCAGACGCCUACGGGAGGCAGCAGUGGGGAGUAUUGCACAAUGGGCGGGAGCCUGAGGCGGCAACGCCGCGUGCGGGAUAACGUCCUACGGGGUGUAAACCGCUUUCGCCUGUGACGAGGCGGGAGUGACGGUAAUGGGUAAAGAAGCACCGGCUAACUACGUG